GGGGUCCUCGGUUCCUCGGGUCUGAACCUACACAGGUGGACUCAAAUGAGGGACCAAACAUACUAGAACAUGACUCUAAAAUACUCCCCAAAAACCCCCUUAAAACACCUCAAAUCAUCAUAGAAAAAUAUGCAAAGGAGGGCUGCACAGGGCACUUUCGGCGGCCGAAAGUCCCUCUAGAGCCGAAAGUCAGGCAGGUUCGGCAGCACCUUCGGCGGCCGAAAGUGCCCUCCAGAGACGAAAGUCUCUUUUCGGGGGCAGGCUUCGGUAGCCGAAAGGCUUGCCUCCCAGCCAUGUUCGGCGGCCGAAAGUCCUUCGGCUGCCGAACCUGGUUUCUGCCAAAGGGCAGAAACUUCAGCUCCUCAUGCACAAAUGCCUCCCAAACCUUCCAAACAUGCAUUUUUUCCUAUUCUACAACAUACAUACUCAAGCAUACAAGUUCCUAGGGGCUUCAACUAACUUAAACCCCAUCUACAACACAUCAAACAUCCACAUUGUUCAUAAACACAACAUAUACCAAUAAACAUAACAAUAACCUAACAUGCAUUUCUACCCCAUAGAUCUACUUAAAACUUACUUAAAACAUGCAAUAAGCUCAAGAUCGGACCUUACCUCUUGAAGAUCGAGAGGAGAAUGACCCUAGCUCAGAAAAUGGGAGAGAGAGAGUUCCUUGAACCUCCAAGCUCCAAAACUUGCUCAAAUGCUCAAAAUCUUCAAAACAAAGUGAAAACUCAUGAAAAUCUUGAAAGAUCUGAAGGAAGAAACUCAAGAUUGGUGAGGGAUGGCGAAGGGCUCACCUUGGCCGAGAAUGGGGAGAAAGCUCACCCAUUUCGGCUAAGGGACCCCUUUAUAGUGGCUGGCCAGGCCACAUUCGGGAGCCGAACGUGCUUCCGCAUGCAUGCCAUAUUCGGCGGCCGAACUUGAGUUUCGGCGGCCGAACCUGGACUUCCCUCACUUAUGCCUUCGGGGGCCUAAAGCACUCCCGAAGUGUAUGUAUGUUCGGCGGCCGAACUUGGGGUUCGGCGGCCGAACCUGAGUUUUCCUCCAAGGCUAUUUUCAUGCAAAAACUCAUUUUCUUUCAUGCUUAAAACAUAAAACACAUUAAAACAUUUUAUGAAAACAUGGUUUUACCCUUCUAGAGGUCUCCGACACCCGAGAUUCCACCGGUCGGUAGGAAUUCCGAUACCGGAGUCUAGCCGGGUAUUACAUAUGGUAUCCACACGAACGUCUUCUAUUCUUCUAGAGUGCUAGCUCUCUCAAAGAUGGAUAGAUUAUAUGCUCCACAAUCUGCAUCUAUUAGACUGAGUUUUCUCAAAACGUCAUCAACCCCCAUAAUUCGUAGUAGGAGUAUUUAUAUAUUUCAGUCUUUUGUUUUCCACCAACUCUUUUCCUAAAAGAGUUGUGCUCAGAACCCACUAUCACAAUCUCGCAGAUACUCAAAUAUCUUAUGUGAUAGAGUCCUUUAUCUGUAACACUUACAGAUAGACUGCAGAUCUUUUAAAUAUUAUUAUCUCAUAAUAAUAAAUAAUUAAUAAUAAUAAAGUGUCAAUAAUAAUAAUAAUAACACUUUAUUAUUAUUAAUUAUAUUAAUGGGCUUUGGGCUUUUAGCCCAUUAAUAUGACAUAGCACAUCAACAAUGUUCUUUUGUAUGUGACCCAAUAGGCUCACAUUAAUUGGCAAUAGGCCCAGUCCCACAAGGCCCAUAAGUCAUAAGUGGCCUCUAGCAAGACAUUAUGACUACUCAACUAAUAUGAGGAUCAAUAGUCCAAUAAAGCCUAAUAAAUAGAACAUGAAUUAAUCCCUUUGUCACACGAUAUCCAGUUUGAACAUAAGUCAUGGUCAAUGUCAAACUUAUAAUGUUCAAACUUAUGAUUUCUCGAUCUCUAAGUAGACUGAUAAAUUCAAAUGAUAUUGAUCACACUAUUAAUUCAUUUGAGCACGGCCAUGCAUUUCUCAGUCUCACUUAUCGAGGGGCCCAGGAGAUAUAUCUCUCAUAGAGAGGGACAAAUCCUAUCUUGAUUGUUCAUUAUCCUCUACAUAAUUUCUAUUAUGCUCAAUCAUAACCUUUAUGAUUGUCCGAUUAAAGACAACGUUUGGUUAUGUCAAAACAUAAUAGUCCUUAUAUUGGAAACUAUGAUAAUCUCAAGUCAAAGGAUUAAGACAUAACUACUUUGAGAUUCACUUAUGACAAUAACCCAUAUAGUGAUCUCAAUGCGGGUCCAUACAAUACUUUGUUCUCUAACAAGUAUCUAUGAUUAUUGAAUUAUAUCAACAUAUACAUAAUCAUCUUAUGAUUAUCAAUCAAUAAUUAUACCAGUUAUAUUUUAUUAUUAUCAACAUAAUAAUAAGUAACUAGGGAUGAUAAUCAUUAUUAUGUAACAUGCAAACAAAUAAUAAUGAUAAAAACCUCUUUUAUUAAUAACCAAAACGACAUACAAAAAGGUCCAAGAUAAUGGCCUAGGGCAUAUACACUAACAAUCAAGUUUGGGUUUUCGAGUUUUUAGUAAUUAGGACAGUUUGGAGCUCAUCUCUUCCUCUUCUCCAAAUUCUUUGUUGUUAUGGUUAUUAUUUCUCCAAAAGAUAAGUGAGAAUCCUUGCCUCUCUCCUAUUUUGAGUUUUUAAAGAGAUUUUAAGUUUUUUAAAGUGAUUGAGCUAUAUAUGCAAGAAUUUGAGGGUUAAGUUCAAUGUUUGUUUUGUUUGGGUGAAUCCUUAUCUUGUUUGAUGCAUAUUGAAAUUUGUUAUGGUUUUGAGUGGUCUUAGGUUUCCUGAGAUGUUAAGUUGUGGUUUUUAGCGGUUGCAUGUAGUUUUGUUAAUAUUUUGGAGGUUGUGGUAAAGAGUAAACUCGAGUUUUACAUUACAAAAAAAUCCAAGUUCGGCAACCUACCUGUGAAGGCUGCCAAACUGCUUCCAGUUAGGACUUUUGGAUUUGUAAGGGACUUUAGGCAGCCAAAAGUCUACUAUCAAGUCGAUUCCUGUCCAUUUUCUACAUGUUUUCUUAUAUACCUUUAAGAGUGUCUCGGGUAGUUUUAAGAGUUGUGAAAUUUAUGUUUGGUCUCUCAUUUAAGUCUAUUUUUAUAGGAUUGGACUUGGGAGACCGUAGAGGCCAUCAUUCAGGUAACUACUUUAGAGAGAGGCCAAUGUCCAUAAGAGGUAAGUAGAACUAAACUAAACUCUUAUUUUAAUCAAAUUAAAUGUUUUAACAUGCUCAUACAUCACAAAUGCCAUGUAUAUUUGAAUAUGUUGUAUGCAUUGUAUAUUUAAUUAAUGUUGUGUAUGGAUGUUGGAUAACCCACUAGACCUCGAGCAUGAUAUGUUAUGUUAUGUAUGAUGGAUAUGGAAGUCCAAGUAGAGGUUCAUUCUACGUCCCUAGCACUAUGUAAGAGAAAGACUAGGGUUUCCAUUCUACACUCCUGGCACUAUGAAUAUGCUAUGUUUAAGAGAAAGUCCUGAGACGCACCUGUUGUAGGCCGGGCACUAUUAGAUUUUUGAGAGGGUUAUUGGUGACAAGUCCAUCUUAUUGUGAUUUGUCUAUGUUAUGAUGCAUACAUUGAGCUUAUGUUUUAUUAAAUUGUCUUAUGCCAUGUUUCUACUUACUAGGCUAUAGUACCUUAUCCCUUUCUCCUAAUCCAAAGUUUGCAGGAUUAGAGUUAGCAUGGAAGAUUAGCAGUAUCCUUUGGAAUAGCUCCUUAUGUACUAGUUUACUUGUGGACAUGUAAUGUAUUAUGGAUUAGAAUUGUGCUUUGUCAAUUUUUUUUUAUGAUCCCUUCUUAAUAAUCUUUUUAUGUAAAAGUUUUAAAUUUAAACUAUGUUUGAACCAAAUAGUGGUAUGUAAGGUUGACUAUACUGGAUCAUUUGAUGCUUGCCGAAUCUCAACGUGCUUCUAUAUAUGGCUUAGACUAUUACAAUUAAAAGAUAAUAGUUUUGUAGGUAAAUAUAUAAAAAAGUGAAAGUUGAGAGGACAUUGAUUAAUUAGAAAAGAUUAGUAGGCGAAAACAAUAAUUAGUGAAGGUUAAAAGGUGGAAUUGAUCUCCACCAUUGGAUUUAAAAGCUAGGAUUAUCCUAACAAUUCAUGUAAUACCCUAAUUUUAUUGGAAAAAAAUAUAGCUGAGGUUAUUACAAGAAAUUAUAUAUAUAUAUAUGGGCAUAUAUAAUAGAGUUUAAAUUCAAGUUGGACUUUAAAAUAAUUGAUAUAGUCGGAAAAUAAAAUUAUACUGUAAUUGGUUAGAAUCUGCAAGAAAGAGAACAUGAGAUAGUGGAUGCUCACGGCAGCCAUUCAGACGUUCAAGUUAGUAUACUAGAGAAUAGGGCGAAUGUAAUGAGUAGCUUAGAACUUUAAUAUAAGAGAAUAGCGUACCUUUACCUCUAAAGUCCUUUUUCUUUUCUACUGUAAGAAGGUGGAGAUAAAUACAGUAUUUUAUGAUAAUCCAAUGAUAAUAUGGCCGGCUGCUUGAUAAGGGAUAUCACCAGCUAAUAGGUUGGUGAUUCCAAGAUUACAGGCAUGAAGGGGAUAUGCUGGACUUUGUCUGAUAACGGUAACUUUGUGUUGAGACUUGCCCUAUCCAGAGAGGGUGAAUCUUGAUGACGAACCUGUGUUAAGAUGUCAGGGUCUUUCUUUCCUCAGGUGAAACCUCAUUAUCCAUUUGUUAGAGUUUGUUGGAUUUUGAUAGUAUGGUGGAGAUGAAAACAUAGGGUAUGGUAGAUAUAGUGGGUAGUAUGAAGGAUAGGGCAUGCAUGAGGGGUAAGAGUGGUAACUAGAGUAAUCCAAUGAACUUCCCAUCAGAUACCUGAGUCCCUGUGGGUAAAAUUGGUACUGAGGUGGAUAGGUGGAUCCUGAGGCCUAAGUGCCUAUUGUUCCUCCUUAGACUCUCCCACACAUUCUCUUUCAAAGUUCAUACCCAAACUUCUGUCUCUCCUCUAUUCAUCACUCACUAAAUCCUUAACAUCUACGGACACCCUACCCGACUCUAUUCCUUUUAUGUUUACAUCAAAAGACCUUAUAGGUCUCUUCAUGCUUCUCCCCUGUUACUUCUGCUUUUCUGUGCUCUUGACGGAGCAGCAGGGGGAAUGGCAUUCAUACCCUCAUUUUCAGGUUGGUCACUGGUCAAUCGUGUAAAUCGACGUGAGCCACACAUCUUUUCUUCUAGAAAACAACAUUAAACACAUAAACAUUAGCAUCAUAUGGUUCAUGUGAAUACAUAUGAACCCACAAGAUACAUAUCAUAUCAUCAAUGCACAUGCAUAUAGUCAUGACAUUACACAUAAGCAUACAUACCUCAAGACAGGACUCUACAUCUUAUCCCUAAUUGACAUGUAUUUUCCUAAUUAUGCUUACCCUCUAACAUCUAUAAGCCGAACACUCUAGGUCUAACCAUAUAAAUUAGGCUCUGAUACCACUCUGUAAUUACUCGAAAAUCGGACUGCUAUUGACACUAAGAUUCAGAUCGACUAAAGGAUAACGGAGCCCAUAGCAAGCCUACUAUAUAUCCUGUUAUAUCUAAUAUAAUCUCUAACAUGAUCUUAAAAUUGUACAUAAACAUUUUCAUAACAUGAACCAAGACUUGGCAUGUUCAUACAUACAUAACUGAAAACAUAAACUCAUACUAGAGCCCUCAUCAAAUGCUCUAGUAUGGUUAACAUUACAUGUCUCUGUUUGGUUCAAACAUAGCUUAAACUUAAAAAUUUUACAUAAUAAGAUCAUUAAUAGGGGGAUCAUAAAAGAAAACUUGUGCAAAACACCAUACUAAACCAUAAAACAUUACGUGUCCACAACUAAACUAUUAAAUCAGAGCUAUAACAAAGAACAUUAUUGACUUCCUGAGCUAACUCUAGUCUUACAAACUUGGGGUUAGGGGAAAAGGGAUAAACUACGAGAGCCUAGUGAGCAGAAAUAUAAUAUAAAAUAGUUUAAUACAACAUAUGAUCGUAUGAAUGUGUCAUAACACAAAUAAUUCACAUCAAGAUGGACUUGUCACUAGUAAUCUUCCAUAAUUCCAAUAGUGCCCAGCCUACAAUGGGUGCUCCGUAGAACUUCCUAUUAAACAUAAUGUAACACAUCCAUAGUGUCAGGGGCGUAGAGUGGGCACCUUGGUCUCUCUCUUACAUAGUGCCACGAGCAUAGAAUGGGUCUUGACUUGGACUUCCAUAUCUAUUAUAACAUGUCAUAACAUGCUUGAGGGCUAAUGGGUCAUUCAAUAUCCAUCCACAACAACAAUUAAUUAUGCAAUGUAUCAUAUUUGUGAAUUCUAAUGUAAAACAACCUAUUCAUAUAUAUAUUGAAUUCCUGAUGCAUGAACAUGCUCAAAACGUUUAAUUUCCUUUAAAAUAAUAGUUUAGUUUAGUUCUACUCAACUCUGGAUGAUGCAAGCCUAACUCUGAAGCAAUUAUCUCAUUGUCAGUCUCUACGGUCUUCCAAGUUUGAUUCUAUAUAGAUGGACUUAAAUGAGGGACUAAACAUAAUUUUUACAACCUUUAGAACUACCCCAAGAAAGCCCUAAAAGCAUAUAAGAAAACAUGUAGAAAACAGGCUAAAAACGGUUGGACAAGAGACUUUUCGGGGUAGGUUCGGCGACUUAAAGUCUCCUUACAGAUCCGAAAGUGAAACUUUCAUAGGCAUGUUAGGCUGUCUAAAGUGGCAACCUUCACAGGUAGGUUUGAUGGUCGAACCUGAAUUCUUCUAUAAUGCAGAACAUGAUUUUGCCUUCUAUCAACAACCCCUAAAACACAACCACAACCACAUGCAAAGUCUAAAACUAGACCAUACCAUCAUAGGAGGUAUAAAAUGACUAAAACAACAUAAAACAUUAACAUGCAUCAACAAAACAAGGAUUUUACCCAAGAAUUUGAAGAUUGAAAUAAAAGUUAUAACUUAACAUGCAAGGCAACUUGGUAUUCUCUUUGUAUACAGGCUUCAACACAAAAGUAUACAUUGAAAAUCCAACAAAAAUAGAAGGAGAGGUAAAAUUGAGAAUCUUUCUUACCUUUACAGAAGAUUUCUUCAAUUGAGAGAAACUUUUGAGGAAGAACUUUUAAAAGCUUGAUCAACUUGGAUUCAAAGAUUGAAAAACUUUAAUCUAUACAAAAACCUUUGAAAUCAGCUACUUUUUUACUUAGAAUGGCCAAAAAAAUGAAGAAAAAAGCCAACCAUUUCUCUGCUUGAAAAUAGAGAAAAUCUCCUUCCAUUUUUGGAUUGAGCUCUAUUUAUAGAUAGGCUAGAAGAGCCACAUUCAGUGGUCAAAUCUUAAAACUUUUUUAAAAUUUCUUUUAACACAUUUUUAAAAUACCUAAAAUUCAUUUUAUAAAGGACCAAUUUCACCCUUCUAAGUUUUUUGGUUCCAAGAUUUCAAAUUCUAAUAGAGAUCCUAUAAAAAAUUUAGAAUUUCUACACUGGAAUUUAGCUGGGUAUUACAUAAAUUCUUUAGGAAGGAGGUAAAGGAAGAGAAAAUGUAUUGUUCGAAGGGUUAUCCAUACAACAAAAUGAUCAAAUCAUCCACUUAAGAGAUAUGAACUCUUUCACGAGGGUAAAAUAUUCAUCCAUGAAGGAAUAAAUCAUGUAGAUGAUCCUACUACCUACAAAUAAGCUAUAUUUGAUAUAAAUUCCUCAAAAUGGUUAGAAUUAAUGAAAUCUGAAAUGGAUUCCAUGUACAAGAAUAGUGUCUGGGAUCUUAUGGCCAUCUUUAAGGUAUUGUACCAGUAGGAUGCAAGUGGGUCUAUAAGAGAAAGACAUAUUCUAAUGGAAAGAUAGAGACUUUUAAAGCAAGGCUAGGUGCAAAAGGUUAUACUAAAGCAAGGAAUCAACAACGAUGAGACUUUCUCGCCAGUAGCCAUGCUUGAAUGCAUUAGGAUACUUCGAGCCUAAACACUAUGAUUAUGAAAUUUGGCAAAUGGAUGUCAAAAUAGCUUUCUUAAAUGGUCACAUUUAAGAAGACAUUUUCAUGGAAUAACCUAAGGGUUUUGAAUCCAAAGAAGGUUCCAAAGUGUGUAGGCUUAAGAGAUUCAAUUAUGGUCUUAAGCAAGCUUAUAGGAGUUGGAAUAUAUGAUUUGAUGAAGCAAGUCAAUCCUUCGGCUUUAUCAUGAAUAUUGAUGAACCCUCCCUGUGUGUACAAGAAGGUUAGUUGGAGUGUAACUAUUUUGCUCGUCUUUUAUGUGGAUGACAUAUUAUUGAUGGAUAAUGACACAGAAAUGCUAAUAAGUGUGGAGCUUUUGUUAUUAAAUACAUUCACCAUGAAAGACUUAGGAGAAGCAAUAUAUAUCCUUAGAAUGUGUCUUUGUAUAGAUAGAGUAAAAGGGAUAAUAGGUCUCUCAUAGAGUUUAUAUUUGGAAAAGGUGUUGAGAAUUUUCAACAUGCUUGAUUCCAAAAGAGGGUUGUUACUAGUUAGACAUGGUGUCCAUCUCUUAAAACAGAUGUCUUCGAAGACUCCCAAAGAAAGAGAGAAAAUGGUUAUGGUUCCAUAUGCUUCGGCUAUCAGAAGCUCAAUGUAUGCUAUGUUGUGUACUAGGCUAGAUAUAGCCUAUGUUGGAGUGUGACUAUCAGAUUUUAGUCCAACCUAGGUUUGGAACACUAAAAUGCAGUUAAAACCAUAUUUAAAUACUUGAUAAGGACUAAAGAUUUGGUUUUGACUUAUUUAGGUAAUGAUUUGCAAAUCAAUGGCUUACAAAAUCUAAUUUCCAAUCAGAUGUUAAAGAUAAAAAGUCUAUCUCUUGUUUUGUGUUCACAUGUAAUAGAGGAGCUGUGAGCUAGAAGAGUUCUAAGCAAACUACCACAACAAAUUCUACUACAAAAGCAGAGUAUGUUGCUACAUUUGAUACUGCAAAUGAAGUUGUUUAGAUGAGAAAGCUCAUUACAGAGUUAGGUAUGGUUCCUUCCAAUAGUGGUGCUAUAGCUUAGGCGAAGGAGCCUAGAUCACACCAAAAGUCCAAACACAUAGAGAAGUGCUCUUAUAUUAUCAUAGAGAUAGUUGGAAGAGGUGAUGUUGCCUUGCAGAAAAUAGCUUCAACAGAUAAUAUUGUUGACCCACUUGCUAAAGCUAUGAGUCAACAGUAGUUAGAGAGGCAUCUAGAGAAGAUGGGCCUUAGAUACUGUAGUGAUUGGCUCCAGUGCAAAUGGGAGAUUGUUAGAGAUAUAUGCCCUAGAGCAAUAUUUCGUAUCAUUUUCUUUGUAAUUAAACAUUCCACUCGGCAAUAAAAUAGUUCCUUUUAGUUUAUAUUAAAUGUUAUUUAAUUAAUAAUUGGACUGUUCCAUUAGCUUUUUAUUAGAUGUUUCCAUUCUUAAAUAUUUAAGAAUAAGUGUGAUAGAACAUUCCUGCACAAAUAGCUAUAAAUUGAUUCACAAUUGUAUGAUGUCUCAUUGAUCAUGAUUCAACCAGUUUAGACUGUCACCUCUAUCUUUCUCUGCUAAUUAGCAUGGAAAUGCUAAUGAGAGUAGGAUAAUGAGUCAUAUACCAUUUGACAUGAGAAGUCUAGAUAGAUAUGUGGGUGCUUAUAAUGAUAAGAGAUUUGAACUAGUGAUAUUUUGAUACAUGGAGUUUACUCUUGUCAUAGUUUGAGUGUCUAAGUCAUAAUAGUGCAUAUAAUUCUUAGACCUAAGAUAACAAUUAUUUCAUGUAUAGGUGAUUUGAGUUUAAUAUCACUUACAUACUUAUACUAUGUAUAGUUAUAUGGUGAAUAUUGGCUCAAGUUAGUUAUAUGUGGUUUUAUGGUUUUAGCCAAGAUGGGAUUCUUUAUCUUGGGUAAACGGGUGAAAUUCUAUGAUUGGGAUUAAUUAUUCUUAGUAUCCAAAGUUAUUAACCAAGACAGUGUGAUCUAAUAGAAAAAGAGUUUUCUAUUGAAAGCCUAAUCAAUUAAUAAUUGGAAUUAAUUGUUGACCAUAUGAUUCAAUGUAUUAAGAUUUUAUAUUACCGUGGCAUUAGCUAAAAUUGAAAUUUUGUAAAUAAAGGAUUUUAGUACAUAAUAAUUUAUGAUCGAGAUUUAAAGGAAUGAAAUAAAUAUAUUUAUUAUUAAUUGGAUAGUCAUGGUAUGUUAUGCUGGAUGCUAACCAUUACUUAUAGAAAUCUAAAAAAAUUUCGAAUGUUAUUUUGGAUUAAUAAAAAAAUAUUCUUAAUUCCAUUAUCAAUUAACUCCGAACCCAAUGAAUCACACACAUAACAUUAAUCUUCACAAGUCAGGUUAAUUAAUUAAUUAAUUAAUUAAUUAAAGAAUUUAAUUUGUAAUGUGAUUACAAAAGUUUUUAGGAUAUCUAAUUUUAUAUUUUAUUCAUGGGAUGAUCAAAUUCCAUGUAUCACAUAGAAGAGGAAGAAACUAAAUAUCCUGUAAUUUUGAUAUAAAUUCAUUAAUAUGAUUAAUGAAUUAAUUAAUUUAAUAGUGAUUAAAUUAAUUUAAUUAAAGAUUAAUGACAUGUAAUUGUUGCAUAUUAAUUAUAUCAAAAUAGAACCGUUUCAUUUUUUCUAGAUAUGCCAAAUAUAGUUUAGGGGUUUCUAAUCCCUAAAUAAUUUUAGGAUAAAUUUAAGGAUUUGAUUUAGGGGAGGGAUAUUUUAGAGAUUUGCAUUUUAGGGGUUAGAUAAAGAAAUCUCUAAACCGUAAUGGUAACCCUAUAACAUGAACCAAUAGUUUUUUGACAAACUCAAAAGUAAGAAUUGUGAUGGGCAUACCUCUCUUCUCUCUCUUUCUUGAUUAAUGGAGAGGAAGGGGAAAAAAAAAAUUAUCUUCUUCCCCAUAUACUUGGACAGCAACGUAUGAAAUUCAAAAGAGAAAAUUUCCUUCUUCCUCCAUUGAAGCUCUCAAACAAAAUUAUAGUUGGGAUUUUAGAAGAUAAUUACACCAUAUUUAAGGAGCACUUAACCUAGCAAGGAGAGGGUGGAAGCUUAUCUACACGCUUCAAGUUAUUGAAGAUUAAUAGUAUGGACUAUCUUUAGAGGGCUUCUAUUUGAGAAUUUUGCAUUCCACUUAGAGAGUCUACAAGAAGUAAUCCUAAAUUUUAUGAUAAUUUAGGUAAGAUAGUUUAAUUAAAACUCUUCACUCUCACAAUAUACUAAUGGGUUUGAUCCUUAAAAAUCACAAGUGUUGUGUUCUCACAAUAAACUAAUGGGUUUGAUCCUUAAAAAUCCCAAGUUUGUGUUCUUUAUUAUUUCUUAAUGCUUCAUAAUUAAUUAAUUACAAAGAAAUUAGCAUUAAGUCAAAAUGCAUUUCUCUUGCUUCCAAUGUUUAAUUUAGGUAAAAUAUAUCUUGCUUUCAGGUACCAAAAAAUAGAGACAAUAAUAAAGGACGAGUUGACCUACUCAUCGCUUAAUAGGGUCCACUAUCCUUCUUAUUUCAUGGUCCAGUGGUCUAGGUUCAGGAAGUGGCUACGAGAGAGGGAAGGUAUUAAGUACCAUUCUCGCUUAAAAUUACUUAAAAACCAGUACCAACCCGAUUCUUAUAUUCUAUCUUUUUGUAUUAAUUAGGAAAUCUUCUCUCAAGCAUAUGCAAGAAGUUUAUUUUACACGGAUUAGAGCACCCAAAAUACUUAAAGCAAACACAUUCUUUACCCUAAACAUGCCACAUAUCUAUUUUAAAUUAAGGUGAGAUAUUUACCAAAUUACCCUAGUUAGCAUGUUUCUAAGCCCAUUUCAUGCAUGGUUCAACUAGCACAAAGGUAUGGUUCCUAGCUUGCAUAAUGUCUAUGUAUAGUUCAACCAAAGCAAAGAUAAGUCUACUAAGUUUCUACUAUGCUAUCUUAAGCUUAUUUUAUGGUUGGCUUGCCCUGAAGUUCCUUACAACUUAGUCAUUUUCAUGGCAAUAACCUUAAACAUACUAACUAUAUCCCUAACAUGCAUAAUCAAUUUUAAUGUUAUCAAAUUAAAUAACCUAAGUUACUAAGUUAAAUUACAUAUAAAUUAGAAAGCAAAUCAAAUUAAAUCUCAUACAAUAAAAGAGGAAAGAUAAUAGAAAUUAAAAUAAUUAAUCCAAAAAGUCUUAAAAAAUGAGAGAGGAUAAAAGAAUUUCAUCUCCAAAAUAAUUAAAAUAGAGCAAAAUAAAAAUUAAUCUUAAUAAUUACAACGCUUCAAGCCCAUCACCCUUUACGAUAGGCUUUCAAUUAUCUCCACUGAGCAUCCAUCAUGGGCUCCAUAUAUCCAUUAAAAUAAGAUGUGCUCACCAAGCCUAAGAAGGUUUCAGCCAUCAUGAUGCUCCAAGAAAAUUUCAGACUUUUUCAUCUUUUUUACUUGCUCAUUUAAUUAAAUUAAAUAUAAAAACAAAGUAAAGUACAAAUAGAUCGAAAAUAAAAUAAAUUUAAAAAUUCAGAAAUAAAAUACUUAAAGACUAAAUUUAAAUAUUUUUUUUUUUGAAAUGAAGACUGAAAAUUGGAGGAGUAGAACCUAAAAUUAAAAUAGAGACGGACACCAAAUAGAAUUCUAAUAUAUAUGAUGAUAAAUUCUUUAAAAAAAAAAAUCAGCUGAAUUGAGUCUGUCAAAGCAAAAUAAUAUAUGAAAAUUGUAUGAAAUUUUAUGUAAAAUUUAAUAAAAGUACUUUUAAAAUGAUAAUUUAUUUAUAUUAAAAUUGAAUUUGGAAUAAAGUUAAUUUAACUCUAAAAUUGUGUUUGCCCUCAAAAUUGUAAUAAAAAAUAAUUCAAUGGAUAUUUAGAAUCUCUAAACUAAUAAGAAUAAAUAAAUCGAGUAUUCUAUUCUAUGAUUUAAUUUAGAAAAAAAAAUAAUUAUAAUACAACAAAGAAAAAAAAGAAAAUACAUACCUUUGAAAGGAAGAGGGCGGCGGCAAGCUAUUGCAAUGGUGAGGAGUUCUUAAUAUCAUGGAAGAAGGAAAAUUCAUAAGAGGAGAGGGGAGAUUGGCCAACUGCUCUUGAAGAUUUUGGUGAUUAAUUAUGAUGUUUUAGGGUUUAGGAAGAAAUGGGUUUAUAACAAGUGUAAGUGAGGUGGUGCUUGGUUGAAUGGAGAAC
rnacentral:lncRNA from 1 species